rnacentral:rRNA from 1 species
GACGAACGCUGGCGGCGUGCCUAACACAUGCAAGUCGAGCGGAGAAUGCAAGAUGUUUACAUUGAGCAUUCUUAGCGGCGGACGGGUGAGUAACACGUGGGUAACCUGCCUCAGAGUGGGGGAUAGCCUUUCGAAAGGAAGAUUAAUACCGCAUAAGCUUGUAGCAUCGCAUGGUGCAGCAAGAAAAGGAGCAAUCCGCUCUGAGAUGGACCCGCGGCGCAUUAGCUAGUUGGUGAGGUAACGGCUCACCAAGGCCACGAUGCGUAGCCGACCUGAGAGGGUGAUCGGCCACAUUGGAACUGAAACACGGUCCAGACUCCUACGGGAGGCAGCAGUGGGGAAUAUUGCACAAUGGGCGAAAGCCUGAUGCAGCAACGCCGCGUGAGUGAUGAAGGCUUUCGAGUCGUAAAGCUCUUUGAUCAGGGAUGAUAAUGACAGUACCUGAAAAACAAGCCACGGCUAACUACGUGCCAGCAGCCGCGGUAAUACGUAGGUGGCGAGCGUUGUCCGGAAUUACUGGGCGUAAAGGAUGCGUAGGUGGAUAUUUAAGUGGGAUGUGAAAUCCCCGGGCUCAACCCGGGAACUGCAUUCCAAACUGGAUAUCUAGAGUGCAGGAGAGGAAAGCGGAAUUCCUAGUGUAGCGGUGAAAUGCGUAGAUAUUAGGAGGAACACCAGUGGCGAAGGCGGCUUUCUGGACUGUAACUGACACUGAGGCAUGAAAGCGUGGGUAGCAAACA